rnacentral:rRNA from 1 species
UUUAAAUGGCCGCAGUAUACUGACUGUGCAAAGGUAGCAUAAUCAUUAGUCUUUUAAUUGAAGGCUGGUAUGAAUGGUUGGACGAGAUAUUAACUGUUUCAUAAAAAUUUAUAGUAGAAUUUUAUUUUUUAGUCAAAAAGCUAAAAUUUAUUUAAAAGACGAGAAGACCCUAUAAAUCUUUAUAUUUAGGUUAUUAUAAUUGUAUAGAUUUUUUUUGUUAUAAUAAUUAAUAAUAUUUUAUUGGGGUGAUAUUAAAAUUUAAUGAACUUUUAAUUAUUAAAAACAUUAAUUUAUGAAUAAUUGAUCCAUUAUUAGUGAUUAAAAAAAUAAGUUACUUUAGGGAUAACAGCGUAAUUUUUUUGGAGAGUUCAUAUCGAUAAAAAAGAUUGCGACCUCGAUGUUGGAUUAAGAUAUAAUUUUAGGUGUAGUAGCUUAAAUUUUAAGUCUGUUCGACUUUUAAUUUCU